rnacentral:tRNA from 1 species
UAGCCUAAUGGAUAAGGCAUUGGCAUCCUAAGCCAGGGAUUGUGGGUUCAGGUCCCAU